GCCAGCAUGGCAUAGAGGCUUGAGUGUUGGACUACAACUCUGGAGACCAGGGUUUGAUUCCCAGCUUGGCC